rnacentral:rRNA from 1 species
AAGUCGUAACAAGGUUUCCGUAGGUGAACCUGCGGAAGGAUCAUUACCGAGCUCGUGCCCUUCGGGGUAGACCUCCAUCCGUGCCUAUCCAACAGUGUUGCUUUGGCGGUUGCCCCCAACCGCCAGAGGCCCAAACCCUAAGAAUUAGUGUCGUCCGAGUACUAUAUAAUAGUUAAAAACUUUCAACAACGGAUCUCUUGGUUCUGGCAUCGAUGAAGAACGCAGCGAAAUGCGAUAAGUAAUGUGAAUUGCAGAAUUCAGUGAAUCAUCGAAUCUUUGAACGCACAUUGCGCCCGGUGGUAUUCCGCCGGGCAUGCCUAUUCGAGCGUCAUUACAACCCUCACGCCCCGCGUGGUCUUGGGUCGAGCCCCCCGGGCUGGCCUCAAAAGCAGUGGCGGUGCCUCUGGGUCCUGAGCGUAGUAAACACUUCCGCUACAGGGCUCCCGAGCGCGCUGGCCGAACCCCAACUCUUCAGGUUGACCUCGGAUUAGGUAGGGAUACCCGCUGAACUUAAGCAUAUCAAUAAGCGGAGGAAAAGAAACCAACAGGGAUUACCUCAGUAACGGCGAGUGAAGCGGUAACAGCUCAAAUUUGAAAUCUGGCCCCCCCGGGGCCCGAGUUGUAAUUUGUAGAAGAUGCUUUGGGUGCGGCCCUGGUCUAAGUUCCUUGGAACAGGACGUCAUAGNGGGUGAGANUCCCGUAUGUGAUUGGGUGCCCGCGCCCGUGUAAAGCUCUUUCGACGAGUCGAGUUGUUUGGGAAUGCAGCUCAAAAUGGGUGGUAUAUUUCAUCUAAAGCUAAAUAUUGGCCAGAGACCGAUAGCGCACAAGUAGAGUGAUCGAAAGAUGAAAAGCACUUUGGAAAGAGAGUUAAACAGUACGUGAAAUUGUUGAAAGGGAAGCGCUUGCAACCAGACUUGCGCGCCGCCAAUCACCCAGGGUUCUCCCUGGUGCACUUGACGGCGCGCAGGCCAGCAUCGGUUCCGGUGGCGGGAUAAAGGCUGUGGGAAUGUGGCUCCCCUCGGGGAGUGUUAUAGCCCACGGUGCCAUGCCGCCUACUGGGAUCGAGGACCGCGCUUCGGCUAGGAUGCUGGCGUAAUGGUUGUAAGCGACC